UACGUAGGGUGCAAGCGUUGUCGGAAUUAUUGGGCGUAAAGAGCUCGUAGGCGGUCUGUCGCGUCGGCUGUGAAAUCCCGAGGCUCAACCUCGGGUCUGCAGUCGAUACGGGCAAACUAGAGUAUUGCAGGGGAGACUGGAAUUCCUGGUGUAGCGGUGAAAUGCGCAGAUAUCAGGAGGAACACCGGUGGCGAAGGCGGGUCUCUGGGCAAUAACUGACGCUGAGGAGCGAAAGCGUGGGGAGCGAACAGG
rnacentral:rRNA from 1 species